CUGCCCCAGCUUUCCAGUGGAGCAGAUAAAAAGUUACUGGAAGAGCUCCUGAACAAGUUCAAGAGUAGCAUGCACUUGCAGCUCACCUGUUUCCAAGCAGCUUCUUCAACCAUGAUGAAAACAUAAAUAUCUGCCACAUAAAAGAAGUCCAGGAAAAUAACACGUAAUAAGACUGUUCACUCUCUAAGUACCCUAAAGGUAUUUGGUGUAUUAAACAUUGGGUUUGCCAUUUUUCUCUUUUUUCUUCCUCUGACUUCGAAAAUUGUUGGUAUACAUUUCAACCAAAAUGACCUCAUUUGAAAUGCCCAGGAAGUAUUUGUUUUGCCAUUCUUACUAGAUCAGAUCCUGUAUGACUUUAAAAUACAUUUUAAAAUAUAUUUUGCAUCUCAGCAGAAGGUUGAGUGCUGCAGGAAGAGCUGCUUCUGCAGGGAGUUUUCUGGAAUGGCGUGGCACAUAUUGAAGCAUUUCUCAGUGUCCCGUUCACGGAAGCGCAGGCAGCUCCCACGACACACGGAGAGACUGACUGAUACGAGAUUUGGAAAGCUAUGUAGACAUCUUUGGAGCUCUUACUGUCCUAAACUGUACAGCUGUGCUUAAAACCCUCAUUUCAUAUAAAUGGCCUUAAGUUUUCUAAUUCAAGCGGGUUUUUGGAAAAAUUUAUGGUCUCCAUUAAAAUACAUAUUACAACUGGGG
rnacentral:lncRNA from 1 species